GUGGGGAAUAUUGGACAAUGGGCGCAAGCCUGAUCCAGCAAUGCCGCGUGGGUGAAGAAGGUCUUCGGAUCGUAAAGCCCUUUCGACAGGGACGAUGAUGACGGUACCUGUAGAAGAAGCCCCGGCUAACUUCGUGCCAGCAGCCGCGGUAAUACGAAGGGGGCUAGCGUUACUCGGAAUUACUGGGCGUAAAGGGCGCGUAGGCGGCUCUGUUAGUCAGGCGUGAAAUUCCUGGGCUUAACCUGGGGACUGCGCUUGAUACUGCAGGGCUUGAGGCUGAGAGAGGGUGGUGGAAUUCCCAGUGUAGAGGUGAAAUUCGUAGAUAUUGGGAAGAACACCGGUGGCGAAGGCGACCACCUGGCUCGGUUCUGACGCUGAGGCGCGACAGCGUGGGGAGCAAACAGGAUUAGAAACCCCGGUAGUCC
rnacentral:rRNA from 1 species